GACGAACGCUGGCGGCGUGCUUAACACAUGCAAGUCGAACGAGACGAUUGAAAGCUUGCUUUUAAAAGUCGAGUGGCAAACGGGUGAGUAACGCGUAGACAACCUGCCUUUGAGAUGGGGACAACAGUUCGAAAGGACUGCUAAUACCGAAUGUUGUAUAUUUUCCACAUGGAAGAUAUAUUAAAGAUGGCCUCUAUUUAUAAGCUAUCGCUCAAAGAUGGGUCUGCGUCUGAUUAGCUGGUUGGUGGGGUAACGGCCUACCAAGGCGACGAUCAGUAGCCGGUCUGAGAGGAUGAACGGCUACAUUGGGACUGAGACACGGCCCAGACUCCUACGGGAGGCAGCAGUGGGGAAUCUUCCGCAAUGGACGAAAGUCUGACGGAGCAACGCCGCGUGAGUGAAGAAGGUUUUCGGAUCGUAAAGCUCUGUUGUUUGAGACGAACGUGCAAUUUUUGAAUAAGGAAUUGUAAUGACGGUAUUAAACGAGAAAGCCACGGCUAACUACGUGCCAGCCGCCGCUGUAA
rnacentral:rRNA from 1 species